AGCGAACGCUGGCGGCAGGCUUAACACAUGCAAGUCGAGCGGAUGUAGCAAUACAUCAGCGGCAGACGGGUGAGUAACACGUGGGAACGUACCUUUGGUUCGGAACAACACAGGGAAACUUGUGCUAAUACCGGAUAAGCCCUUACGGGGAAAGAUUUAUCGCCGAAAGAUCGGCCCGCGUCUGAUUAGCUAGUUGGUGAGGUAACGGCUCACCAAGGCGACGAUCAGUAGCUGGUCUGAGAGGAUGAUCAGCCACAUUGGGACUGAGACACGGCCCAAACUCCUACGGGAGGCAGCAGUGGGGAAUAUUGGACAAUGGGCGCAAGCCUGAUCCAGCCAUGCCGCGUGAGUGAUGAAGGCCCUAGGGUUGUAAAGCUCUUUUGUGCGGGAAGAUAAUGACGGUACCGCAAGAAU
rnacentral:rRNA from 1 species